GAUGAACGCUGGCUGUGUGCCUAAUACAUGCAUGUCGAACGAAGCACUUGUGCUUAGUGGCGAAUGGGUGAGUAACACGUACUUAAUCUACCUCUAGGUUUGGGACAACAAUUGGAAACGAUUGCUAAUACCGAAUAUCCUUUUAUCGCAUGAUAUGUAAGGUAACGUCGUGUCGCAAGAGAUGAGAGUGCGGUACAUUAGUUAGUUGGUAGGGUAAUGGCCUACCAAGACGAUGAUGUAUAGCGGGGUUGAGAAGCUGAACCGCCACACUGGGACUGAGAUACGGCCCAGACUCCUACGGGAGGCAGCAGUAGGGAAUAUUCCACAAUGAGCGAAAGCUUGAUGGAGCGACACAGCGUGCAGGAUGACGGUCUUCGGAUUGUAAACUGCUGUUAUAAGGGAAGAAACAUCAAUGUAGGAAAUGACAUUGACUUGACGGUACCUUAUCAGAAAAGCACCGGCAAAACUAUGUGCCA
rnacentral:rRNA from 1 species